rnacentral:rRNA from 1 species
GAUGAACGCUGGCGGCGUGCUUAACACAUGCAAGUCGAACGGGAUCCCAGGAGCUUGCUCCUGGGUGAGAGUGGCGAACGGGUGAGUAAUGCGUGACCGACCUGCCCCAUACACCGGAAUAGCUCCUGGAAACGGGUGGUAAUGCCGGAUGCUCCAGUUGACCGCAUGGUCCUCUGGGAAAGCUUUUGCGGUAUGGGAUGGGGUCGCGUCCUAUCAGCUUGAUGGCGGGGUAACGGCCCACCAUGGCUUCGACGGGUAGCCGGCCUGAGAGGGCGACCGGCCACAUUGGGACUGAGAUACGGCCCAGACUCCUACGGGAGGCAGCAGUGGGGAAUAUUGCACAAUGGGCGCAAGCCUGAUGCAGCGACGCCGCGUGCGGGAUGACGGCCUUCGGGUUGUAAACCGCUUUUGACUGGGAGCAAGC